GUUCGUUUUACUGCACGCUAUCGCUGACAGGCUGACAGUUGCCUACUAGCAGGUGGUGAAUUGCCGCAGCUGAAGUUACACGCGUUUUCUAUACUCGCUUCGGGUUAACUACACAGAGGGUUGAUUACAGCGAAUGAAUGUCCUGCGCCUGCACCAACGAGAACAGCAACUAAAUUAGACGGAACUGGAAGAAACUCUGGCCGCAAAACAUUCUCUGUUUUUCCGUUACCGCAGUUUCCAUGCUCGUUCCAGCCCCAGCAUAACACUGCGCCGUUGUCUGUAAAAUAAAAUUAUUAUGACAUAUCAUAUUAAAAUAUUUUUUUAAUAUCCACUCCA